ACUUAGGUAGCUUAUAAAGAGCACUACAUUGAAGCUGUAGGGGAGACAUAUUUGUCCUUGGGUG
rnacentral:tRNA from 1 species